rnacentral:rRNA from 1 species
AUUGAGCGCUGGCGGCAGGCCUAACACAUGCAAGUCGAGCGGAUGAAGGGAGCUUGCUCCUGGAUUCAGCGGCGGACGGGUGAGUAAUGCAUAGGAAUCUGCCUGGUAGUGGGGGAUAACGUCCGGAAACGGGCGCUAAUACCGCAUACGUCCUGAGGGUGAAAGUGGGGGAUCUUCGGACCUCACGCUAUCAGAUGAGCCUAGGUCGGAUUAGCUAGUUGGUGGGGUAAAGGCCUACCAAGGCGACGAUCCGUAACUGGUCUGAGAGGAUGAUCAGUCACACUGGAACUGAGACACGGUCCAGACUCCUACGGGAGGCAGCAGUGGGGAAUAUUGGACAAUGGGCGAAAGCCUGAUCCAGCCAUGCCGCGUGUGUGAAGAAGGUCUUCGGAUUGUAAAGCACUUUAAGUGGGGAGGAAGGGCAGUAAGUUAAUACCUUGCUGUUUUGACGUUACCAACAGAAUAAGCACCGGCUAACUUCGUG